AUCCUCCAAGGCUAAAUACUCCUGACUGACCGAUAGUGAACCAGUACCGUGAGGGAAAGGCGAAAAGAACCCCGGCGAGGGGAGUGAAAAAGAACCUGAAACCGUGUACGUACAAGCAGUGGGAGCACGCUUCGGCGUGUGACUGCGUACCUUUUGUAUAAUGGGUCAGCGACUUAUAUUCUGUAGCAAGGUUAACCGAAUAGGGGAGCCGAAGGGAAACCGAGUCUUAACUGGGCGUUAAGUUGCAGGGUAUAGACCCG
rnacentral:rRNA from 1 species